rnacentral:rRNA from 1 species
GACGAACACUGGCGGCGUGCUUAACACAUGCAAGUCGAACGAAGUGGAGAAGGGGUGAGUAACGCGUAAUCAACCUGCCCUUCAGAGGGGGAAAACAGGUGGAAACGACUGCUAAUACCGCAUACUGCAGGGGGGGGGUGCGUCUGAUUAGCUAGAUGGAGGGGUAAGGUCCCACCAAGGCGAUGAUGAGUAGCCGGUCUGAGAGGAUGAACGGCCACAUUGGGACUGAGACACGGCCCAGACGCCUACGGGAGGCAGCAUGGGGGAAUCUGCCGCAAUGGACGAAAGUCUGACGGAGCAACGCCGCGUGAGUGAUGACGGCCUUCGGGUUGUAAAGCUCUGUUAAUCGGGACGCGGUACCGGAAUAGAAAGCCACGGCUAACUACGUGCCAGCAGCCGCGGUAAUAC